CUAAUACAUGCAAGUAGAACGCUGAAGAGAGGAGCUUGCUCUUCUUGGAUGAGUUGCGAACGGGUGAGUAACGCGUAGGUAACCUGCCUUGUAGCGGGGGAUAACUAUUGGAAACGAUAGCUAAUACCGCAUAACAAUGGAUGACACAUGUCAUUUAUUUGAAAGGGGCAAUUGCUCCACUACAAGAUGGACCUGCGUUGUAUUAGCUAGUAGGUGAGGUAACGGCUCACCUAGGCGACGAUACAUAGCCGACCUGAGAGGGUGAUCGGCCACACUGGGACUGAGACACGGCCCAGACUCCUACGGGAGGCAGCAGUAGGGAAUCUUCGGCAAUGGGGGCAACCCUGACCGAGCAACGCCGCGUGAGUGAAGAAGGUUUUCGGAUCGUAAAGCUCUGUUGUAAGUCAAGAACGAGUGUGAGAGUGGAAAGUUCACACUGUGACGGUAGCUUACCAGAAAGGGACGGCUAACUACGUGCCAGCAGCCGCGGUAAUACGUAGGUCCCGAGCGUUGUCCGGAUUUAUUGGGCGUAAAGCGAGCGCAGGCGGUUUGAUAAGUCUGAAGUUAAAGGCUGUGGCUCAACCAUAGUUCGCUUUGGAAACUGUCAAACUUGAGUGCAGAAGGGGAGAGUGGAAUUCCAUGUGUAGCGGUGAAAUGCGUAGAUAUAUGGAGGAACACCGGUGGCGAAAGCGGCUCUCUGGUCUGUAACUGACGCUGA
rnacentral:rRNA from 1 species